GGAACCCAGCAGACCCGUCCCCUGGGUCACGCCCGGGCUGGUUUGCUGUCGUCAGCGGCGUGGCCAAGAGGGAACGUUGACCCGGCAUCACCUGGAGCUGGAGCUGCCUGGCCCCGCUCCCGCCGUUGUGCUUCUCAGAACCUCAAGCAGGGGCAGCUCCGACUCCAGCCAAUCUGGCAGAUCUGAAGGGAGACACAGUGGAUGGUUCCAGAUGCUGGAAGGACCAUCGAAGGGCCUGGGUCUGGGCCCACAUCUGCACUGCUGGCUUCGCCCCUGCAGCUCAGGGACCUGAGAAAAGGCUGUGGUGCCUGGGCUCCAGGCCAGUGUGGCCGCAGGACUCACACGGUCUGCUUUCCUACCGGAUGCCGGGUGGCCUGUCUUCAGAGGGUGUGACCGACAGUGUGCGAGCGUGAAGAUGCAUGCAGGUGUGAGUACGCAUCUGUGCGGACGGUGGGAGGCGGGGCCCCGGGAGGAGCAGAGGAGACAGGGGGGCUGGUCCUGCUGGCCCUGCACGUGGGCACUGCGACUUGCUGGACGUCUCAUCUCGUCCUUGCAGAAAGCCUGGAAAGGCUGCACAUCCCAACUGCCAGCAUUGCCCAAGGUCACGGAGCCAAGAGGCUGUGUGGCCUGAAGACACACCCAGCUGUCCCCGCCGGUGCCCUGGCCUCGGCGCCACACGUGAGCGAGUGUUGACCCUUCCCACGUGUGCACCGGGAGGCCCUGAGGUGGGCUGCUGGGAGGGGGUCCUGCACACCACGUGCUGUGAGCAGGGCCGUCCUCCUGCCCGUCCAUCCCAGGGCCUCCGAUGCUCCAGCACAGCCCUCACUCCCCCACGGCCCAGGGCAUCCCUGGGCUGGAGCCAAAGGCCGCUGGGGUGUUUGGUCUGUGAGUAGCCGCCCCGCAGGCUGCAGCCCUUCUCCUCGCCUGGCCUCACUUUCCUUUCUCUGCAUUGGCUCCAGGAGCACUGUGGCUCCAUCUGUACAGGCGGCACUGACACAGUCCAUACGCGUGCACAUGUGCACCAACAUGCAAACGUGUGCACCGCGCGUGCACAUGUGGGGCACACACACUCACAUGUGCGUUCACACGCACAGUGCACUGACACACGUGCACGCACAGGCACACACGCCCAGCCUUACAUGGAGCAGAGGGGCAGGUACCCUGUGCCCAGUGCCCCGUGGCGCCUGGCUUCACAGGAAACCCGUAGAGUUAGGGUCUCACAGCCGCCAUGGCUCGCUUUCCCUGCACCCUCCCACAGCCAGGGAGAGUCAGCUCUAGUGCAGAAGCUUCCAGGGUGACAGGUCCGCCUGGAAGGGCCCAGGUCGCUCACGACGGCUGGACUUGGAGGUUUAAUCAGCGAGCAGGACGGUGGGCGGAGGCCUGGCGUAGAGAAGCUCUCUGGCAUGAAGGGCCUCCAGGAAUCUGACCCAGGAUCCCCAGGGUCCAGAUCGGCCUUUCCGGGUGGAGGUGGGGUGACGGCACCAGGGGAGCACCAGGGAGUGGGUGGGGGCCGCCCCAGGGGAGGGAAGGAGGGGUGUGGUUUUGCUGAGUCAGGAGGGGUCCCGGAUGCCUGCGUCUAGUCACACCUGUGCUCACCUGGUUUUCCGCUGAGAGGCCGGUACCUGAGCAGGUGCUUCUGCGCUCCAGCCUGGUGCCUCCUGGCUGUUUGAGCCUCAGGGCGCAAGCUAGGAUUUGCCACCUGCCAGGGGGCACUCUGCCCACCGCAGAGGCUGGAGCAGGGUUUUUUUUUGAGCACCAGGCAUUUAUUAAGUGCCUACUGUGUGCAAGUGGACAGAGGGGUCCACCACCUCUCAGCUCCCGUCCGCUGUCUGAGCAGCAGACACCCUCCCUGAUCACAGAGGGUGAGCGGGGCCCAAGUUGCGACGGACGAGCCAAUUGCCUGGAGGGCUGAGCAUCAGGAAAUGCGUGCAGGUGCUCCUGGGGAAAAGCUCGAGCAGACCGACGACACCGGUGGAACAGAACCCGGCCGACGAGGAGGCAGCUGCGGCUGCCCAGGGCCUGCGUCCAGGGGGUCUCAGCCCGCACACGCCCUUCUCCGCUGGGUGUGGGACCAGGACGGGCUCAGGAAGAAAGUCUGGGGCCAUGUGGUCAGGCGCCGUCUGGCUGCGUCCCAGGGACUAGAGGUCCCCUCUCUAAACCACAGGAACACAGUGGCUGUGCAUGGCUUUCCCGCAAAUGUCCAGAUGGUCAGUAUUUCAGGCUUCACGGACCUACAGCCUCUGUCACAACCGCCCGACUCUGAGGCCAGGCUGACGGGCCACACGCACGUGCUCUGCCCUGUUCAUGGUGCAAGUGGGUGCCAGGCCCUGUCCUAGAGGAAAGCCAGCGCCCUGCCCACGAGGGACCCCAGCCUGCGAGGGUGAACACGCGAGGGGUGGAGUGUCCCCGGCCUGACGUGUCUCAUCUGCUUCUCUUUCGGGGUGACGCGUGCUCUCUGCCUCCUGUCCCUGCCUUCUGUUCACCUGUGAGAGGGCACGGGGCUCGGGGGCGCGGCCCGGGCGGGUGAUGGCGAGGGCCCAGCAUCUGCCGUCUGGGUCCAGCCGCCUCAGGCGGCCCUGCUCUUUUCAGCCCAUUUCCAUCCAGUCAAUGCGCUGGAGGCAGGAAGAGGUGUUGUCUGGGAUAGGACGGAAGAAAUGGGGCUGAAGUUCAGGAAACGCGUCUACACUUGGGGGGGCUCCAAGGUGUGUGAGCUCAUUCCAGGGGACGGAGCUCAGGCACGUGACCUUGGGGAGCUCUUUCCAAAUCUCUGGUUGAGGAGUGCGGGUUGCAGCCACCCUCUUUUGCACUGCGAUGCUGACUCUCAGCCCUGUCGUUUGUUUGGUCCCAGGUGGCUCUCGGUUAUGUCCUAAAUCAUGCCUGUUCUAACAGGAUGAAGACUGGCUGCCUCUCGGGCCGCGUGGAAAUGGAGAUGUUGCGUCUUAGGGCAGCGAGGCUCCCCCGAGGGCCUCCGGGGAGGACGCUGGCGGAGGAGCCGUCUGCGCCCACAGAGCCCAGGGUGUGGGCCGCUCUCACAGGGCCUGGGGGCUGCUCCCAGCCUCUGUCCUCUGCAGCCUUUUCCCAGGGACUCCACGCCCCUGUCCUCCACGCACCCACCCACCCUCUUCCUCCCCUGGGGCCUCCUCACACCUCCCUCCGCCGAAGGCCAGACCCUGCCUCUCCCCAUCUCACCCCACCCGGGCCCCCCGCCCCUGCCAGCGUGUGAACAGCUCAGCGCGGCUGCUGGACCCCCUGGUGCUCGUGCUGCCCAGCGGGGGGUCCACAGACCCGCCGGGCUGCUUUUCCUCCUGGGCUGGUUCCACCUGCUCCAGACCCAGGCUUCCUUUGGAAGCUGAUUCCAGUCCCUUGAACGACAUGACAGGUCUGGGUUUGCAGCCAGCACCUGCCUUUCCCAGCGCUUCCGGAAGGAGCGUGUCCCAAGGAGCCCAACACGUGGGGAGGCCUCGCCUGGCACGGCGAGCCUGGAGAAGGAGGGGCCAGGAUGGGCUCACGGGCACGUGGACCGUCUCCUCCUUGUAUCUGGGAAGCUUGACGUCAGCCUUACGUUCCCCUUUCAGCGGCUGAAGUGUGCCUUGUGAGAUGGUCGUAGGACUUCACCAGCACACGGGCACCGGGAGCUGGACUCGAGGGCGGCUGAAAGUUUUUCAUUGUUAAUUGAAAUUCCAUCCACAGAUGUUCCAUUCAUAGCAGAGAGUACCACGCACCACGAGACACACCACACACACACCACAGGAUCCCGGCCCAGUGGCUCCCCACCGGUGAACAGACGCUGGGGCCGCCCGUCUCCCCGGGGAGCGGGGGGACGGCAGUCCACCCAGUCGGCUGGAGGAGGAAACAAAUGUUUGUUUGGACAAUAUGCAUCCGCUCCUUGGACCGACUUCUCCAAACCGGAUAAAAGAGAACUCUGUGUAAUAUACACAGAAACUCCUGUUACUGGCACAAUCUUAAAAUAUUUAUACGGCGUACAAACAACGCCAAGGAAUUCCCUACAAGCCAUAUAUUGACUUCAUAAACACGGGGCCAUUAUGCGGCGUUUGUCUUAGUUACAUAUGACACGUUAUUGAUCACAGCGAGGGGGAAUCUGAAGACAGGACUGUGAGAUCCAGCCUCUUGUAUACAACACGCCUUGCGUUUGGCCACCGCAAGUCCCAGCCAGACCCGCCGCUCCAUUUAUCUCGGGGCCACAGACGUGCAGACUUCGGGUUCCAGGGCCUCCCUGUGCGGCUCAGCCUCGUGUGCGCCGUUGCCACCAAAAGGCCUGGGCUGCUGAGGGACCCGAGGCCCCCCGUAGGCCUCCACCCCUUGGCCGGCUCCCCCGGCCUGUCACAGACUUUCCAGACCCACGCAGGGAGAAGGGCGGCCGAGACAGACGCCCCCCUCUUCGCUGCUCCCACCGGCCAGACCUGCGCCUGCGGCACCUUCUUCCUCUUUCAAAUUCCUUUAAGAAGAAAAGGAAAGCAAACAGAGCCCAGGUUUUUUCCCAGAAAAGUUCUGGACAUUUCUGAAGUCUGUGUUUCGCUUUCAUACCGCUUAUCUCUGGGAAUCAAGAACAGCUCCCAGUGAGCCAAGAGAAAAAAAAAAAACAGAAAACAAACAGCUUCCAAGUCUCAACCUCACUUACAAAGUGGCCUCGUCGGUGCUACGUGGCAUCUCCAGGUUCUCAGACUCCGGCGGCGGGCCUGACGCUGUCUAAGUCAGGCCGGAGGGAGGGGUGACACAGGAGGUUCUGGAAGAAAGGUGCCUGGUGACGGGAGGACUUUAGUGAGUGACCGAGGGUGAGUGGAUAAAGUGCCUGGUCAAGACGGCCUGGGGUCCUCACCGAACACGAGGCGCUGGCGGGAGGGCAGCUGCGACCCUGCUGAGACAUGACACUGGAGAGCCGGCGGCUCUGAUGUGGCCGGGCCAUGGUUUCCUUCAGCGGCUUCCCGCAGCCUUUCCCUGCAGCCGCGAAGGGGUCUCCCCAAGAACGUGCAUCCACGUCUGCGGCCGUCACUUCUGUGACUGGCGGGGGCUGCAGCGGCUGCCCCGCUCGCCAGGCGGACCGCGCGCACCGUGUGCAUCUCAUACAGCUCUUCGCCCAGAGACCUCACGCUCGGGCGUGAAGCUGGCCGUGACGGGUUCCCUGACACCACGCACUCCGGCGAACGCUAUCCAUCAGGCCUCCCUUCUCUUCAGAGAGCAGGUUGUCAAACAUUUACCAGCUCAUCACUGCAUCCGACCAUCUGUCCUCCCACCCGCUGAGCCAUUUCCGCGUCCAACCAUCCGUUUAAUCCGACCAUUUUAUGGUGAGAUGGAGUCGUUUGAAUGUGGUCAGGUGGACCCGGGUGGAGCAAAA